rnacentral:lncRNA from 1 species
ACUCGACUGAAUAUACCAAGGUGGAAGAUUGUGAGUUUUCUUCAUUCUGUGGCUCACUGAGACAUUCUUAUUCCACAAAUGAAAAACAGAAGGUUGGAGUAAAAAAGAUUGUAUGGCAUGAUCACCUUCUAGAAGCAAUAAAUGGAUACGCUCAAGCAACAUUAAUUAGAUACUACAGGAAUGCUUUGCCUUUUAUCUUUCCUUUGGAAGCAGUAUCCAUAAGCCUUCAUCAGAAGCUUCUAAAAGUGGAAGGGAUUUUUCUUUGUUAGAAAGGACCACGGGCUAAUUAAAGGAGAUUGCUAUAAGCUGCUUUCAUGUUGUAUCAGAGUAAGAUGGACGGUAGCUUUGAUUGUGAUUGUGGUGAGCUGGAGCCACCUGAUCACUAACAAAAGACAUCUUCUGUUAACCAACAGCCGCCAGGGCUUCCUGUUGAAAUAAAUAUAUAGCAACAAAGGAAAAAAAGAAGCAAAACGGAAAUAGUGCUUACCAGCACCUUAGAAUGAUGCUGCUCAGGACCAGUCCAACACUGAAUGUAUCUGCACUGUGAGGAGA